CAGAAAAGGAGUCUAUUUUCCCCAAAACGACGCCAGAAGAACUUGAUAAAAAGCUGGCUGCAUACACAAUAAAUGUUGAAAGCUAUAAAGUUGGACAUUGACACCCCCAGUUUAGAAAGCUCCACUGAUGAAAACAUAGAUGUUGGUGUGCUAAGUGUGGAAUUCCCUCUGGUUACGGGGGAGAAUGGCAAAACAUCAAACCGCAAAAGUCAUCCUAAGGAACAGCAUUAUGGC